CCUACGGGCUGCACCAGUGGGGAAUAUUGCACAAUGGGCGCAAGCCUGAUGCAGCCAUGCCGCGUGUAUGAAGAAGGCCUUCGGGUUGUAAAGUACUUUCAGCGGGGAGGAAGGUAUUGAGGUUAAUAACCUCAGCAAUUGACGUUACCCGCAGAAGAAGCACCGGCUAACCCCGUGCCAGCAGCCGCGGUAAUACGGAGGGUGCAACGUUAAUCGGAAUUACUGGGCGUAAAGCGCACGCAGGCGGUCUGUCAAGUCGGAUGUGAAAUCCCCGGGCUCAACCUGGGAACUGCAUUCGAAACUGGCAGGCUAGAGUCUUGUAGAGGGGGGUAGAAUUCCAGGUGUAGCGGUGAAAUGCGUAGAGAUCUGGAGGAAUACCGGUGGCGAAGGCGGCCCCCUGGACAAAGACUGACGCUCAGGUGCGAAAGCGUGGGGAGCAAACAGGAUUAGAUACCCCAGUAGUC
rnacentral:rRNA from 1 species